CCUACGGGAGGCAGCAGUGGGGAAUUUUGGACAAUGGGCGCAAGCCUGAUCCAGCCAUGCCGCGUGUGGGAAGAAGGCCUUCGGGUUGUAAACCACUUUUGUCAGGGAAGAAACGGUCUGAACUAAUACUUUGGACUAAUGACGGUACCUGAAGAAUAAGCACCGGCUAACUACGUGCCAGCAGCCGCGGUAAUACGUAGGGUGCAAGCGUUAAUCGGAAUUACUGGGCGUAAAGCGUGCGCAGGCGGCUUUGCAAGACAGAUGUGAAAUCCCCGGGCUCAACCUGGGAACUGCAUUUGUGACUGCAUGGCUAGAGUACGGUAGAGGGGGAUGGAAUUCCGCGUGUAGCAGUGAAAUGCGUAGAUAUGCGGAGGAACACCGAUGGCGAAGGCAAUCCCCUGGACCUGUACUGACGCUCAUGCACGAAAGCGUGGGGAGCAAACAGGAUUAGAUACCCUGGUAGUCCACGCCCUAAACGAUGUCAACUGGUUGUUGGGAGGGUUUCUUCUCAGUAACGAAGCUAACGCGUGAAGUUGACCGCCUGGGGAGUACGGCCGCAAGGUUGAAACUCAAAUGAAUUGACCGGNNGAGAGNGCGAGACGACGACGAGGGAGGAGG
rnacentral:rRNA from 1 species